GUGCUUACUUCAGCAGCACAUAUAUUAAAAUUGCAACAAUAUUGAAAAGAUUGGCAUGGCCGCUACCCCAAGGAUGACACACAAAUUCGUGAAACACUCCACAUUUGG